UCCUCGUUAAAGCGAGGCAGUCUGUCCAGAGUGCUCCGAACUCUCGUUCGAGUGGCAACAGGACAUAGGGGUUGCGCUCGUUGCGGGACUUAACCCAGCAUCUCACGACACGAGCUGACGACAGCCAUGCAGCACCUGUGCAAGCUCCCCUUGCGGGGUCGUCCCACUUUCAUGGUUCUACCACUUGCAUGUCAAGGCUAGGUAAGGUUCUUCGCGUUGCAUCGAAUUAAACCACAUGCUCCACCGCUUGUGUGAGCCCCCGUCAAUUCCUUUGAGUUUUACCCUUGCGAGCGUACUCCCCAGGCGGGGCACUUAACACAUUUGCUACGGCAGGGAGUAACAUAGGCUUACCCUCUACCUAGUGCCCAUCGUUUACGGCCAGGACUAC
rnacentral:misc_RNA from 1 species